AUGGGAAGUCGACAACAAUGGCUCACGAGACUGAAGAAUGAGCUGAGCAACAGUCCUCUGGUGUCCAACGUGGCUUUCGGCUUCAUCCUGAUGGGACUGGAGAAGCUGGUGGAGCUGGAGUUUGAGUGUCCGUGCAAUCCGGCCUGGAACGGGCUGUUUUCCUCCGCAUUCUUCAUCAUUCCCGCCAUCAUGGCCUUCGCGCUCAUGAUGAUCUUUCAGGGAUGCAGGUGUGGCGUCUGGUGCAGGAGGACCGUGUCCCUGUCCAGCUUCGUUCCCGCCGUGGUCUGGCUGAUCCUGCUCUUUCUGGACGGUCAGUAUUUUGCCUGUGCGAUGACAGACUGGCACGGCAGGUUCGUGAUCGUGGACAAAGCCGCUCCGCAGAAAUGGUGCGAACCCAUUCAAGAGGAGAGCGCCAGUCCUCAGGAACUCAUGCUGCGCUCACAGCGACUGUUUGUGGAGUCUCAGGUGAUCGGCAUAGUGCUGCUCAUUUUUAUCUGUUUGGGACUGGUCGUGUAUGUGAUCAGAGAAAGCUGCCAGCAGGAGCUGGAGACUCAAGAUGCCAAUGUGGCGGAGAUGACGCUCUACAGCUCCAGCUGAUAGACACCCUUCCUCAUCCGAGUGCAGAAAAACACCAGUCACUCUUUACAUUACAGUGUUCAUGUAUUACUGCAAUGAAUAACACACAAGAAUGAGAAAGUACUUACAGGGAUAUCGUGUCUUUCAAAAAUGAAGAUGCAGUCAUCAUUUACUCAUGCUCAUAAUGUUACUUGCAUGAUUUUCCUUCGUCUGUGGAAGAAAAAAGGACAAAUCCUUAAACCUGCUCUGAUCGCUCUUUCAAAUCAAUUGAAAUGUUAACAGAAGGUAGAAAUAGUCAGUGAAUAAUGACUUCAGUGUAGUCAUCAAAGACUAGGUAUUGUAAACUUUAAAUAUAGUCAUUUUUGGUAUUUUUUUUUUUCGUUUAAAUGUUCCGUUCAUUGUAAUUGCAUGGAAAAGAGCAAACGCCGUUAUUAUCCCCAUGGCAGAAAUAGUAACACAGCUUUAAGAUCAACAAGAGGGUGGGUCAAUAUGGUAUAAUAAAAAUUUAUUUUGGGGGAACUAACACUUCAUAGAAUUAUUUCAGGUUAAGUUAAAGUCUAUUGACAGCAUUUCUGAUCGAUUAACACAGAAAGUAAUUUUGUCUCAUAUUUGCAUUUACACCAGAGGGUGAUAAAAUCACUUACUAAACUUGUCUGUGUAAAGUUAUUUACAACAUUUCAAUUCCUGUCAUGACCAUGAAUAGCCAGUAAACACUACAGCUCACAUUUAGGAAACACAUUUUCAUACAGAAGAAAUAAUACAUGUAUUUUAAAAAACUUUUCAAAAAUUGUUCUUUUUUUUUUUUGCAUUGAGAAAUUAUGGCAAUGUACUGAAAUGCAAAAACUAUAUUCUACAUAUUUUUUAAAUGUAUAAGAAAAUAAUGUACUACAGUGCAUCAAAAAUUCCACAUCCUAUAAAAUUUUAAUGUAUAAAAAAACUUCAUUCUAAAAUGUUUUUAAUUAUAGCCAUAUAAAUAAUAAUAAAAAAAAUACAAUAAAUACUACCUCUUGAAUUUUUUUUUUUAAUUGUACCUUUAAAGGUGACACAGAGGUGGCCCAAAUGCCAUUUUUGCACAUUUUAUUCUACGUAAUAUGAGCACAGUAAUAAAAAGUGUUACCCCAUCCAAAGGUGUUUAUAUGAAUGAUGAUUAUCCACAUGAAUUUGUGUAAAUAGGCUAGUACAAAUAAAUAAAUAUAUUAAACAAUGCUUUAUUUAUUUAGAUAGUUGGUUAGUCAGGUUCAUCAGUGUUCAGGUACAGGAAUCUGAUUUUUUUUUUUUUUUUUUAAAGAAGUAAAAUAGCAUUGCAUAGUCUUCACUGUCUAAAUUAAAUAUAGAUUAAUCCUUGUUAAAGCUACAUACUGUAAGUUAUUCAAGUUAUUAUUAAUUCAGGAGCAGUUAGUGAUUCUCUCUCUCUCUCUGAUUGAAAUAGACAGCAGCUACUAAAUUAGGCGCAGUCACUUUAAGACAAAAUGCAUGGAUUCAAUAUAAUAAUACACAUAUUUCUCAACUGUUUACGUUCACUUAAGACAUAACACACAUUUUUCAAGGAUACUCACCCCAAGACGGGUAUGUAUUUGUCCAUUCAAGUGCAAAAGAGAUCUAUAAUCAUCACCACACUAGCUACAGCCCUGACCAUGACUAAUGGUCCUUUUCUUUAAAUUACUUUCAUGAAUAGACAUUUACGUUGAGCCAGAACAGCAUGGAGGGAAACACGACUGCAGCUGACAUUUGACUGGCAUGAUUACUGCUGUUAUUAAGUGCCUGUUUUACAACCGCCUCACAUCAACUUGAAAACGGCUCAUUUUACACUCACAGUUCAUAUGUCAGACUCAGCAAAACAAUGAUUAUGAGAAAACUGAUUCGCAGUGUAGUUUGUGUAAGGAUUCAGGAAAUAUAUUAUGUAAAAGAUACUGAACAACUCAUAUCAGUGGAUUACAAUUAGGAAUAUUGAGGGUCUUUUCUCUUACAUAUUCCAGCCUGAUGCAAAUGCCUUCAUUAGUUCAUUAGUAUAUGUAUUAGUUAAUUUUCUAUGGAAGCUUGUUUCUGCCACAGGAUUAAAAAUAAAAAAACUAGAAAAGUUAAUUGCAACUUUUUAUAUCGCUAAUUCUUUUUUUUUUUUCUAGUGAAUAAUACACU
rnacentral:lncRNA from 1 species